GCGGUUGCCUGUGGAUCUUAUUUCUGACCCACCCAGUGAGACAGGUCUUUUCUGCUGGGCUAGGAAGCUGCAUUGCUGCUCCUAGAUCAAUUCUGAGGUCGUUUCCUAGUUGUUUGGAUGGAAAUUUGGGACUUCGGAGGAGAACCCCUUCCUCACUCAGACAUCUUGGCACUAGAAGUCCUUAAAAGUCGUUGUUACUAAUCACUGAAGAUCAUUCUUUAGCUCAUUCUGGUAGCAUAUAAAGUUCAAAGAAAAAGCUUCUUCUUGACAAGAACUACUACUCCUGGCAACAUAGCUUUACUCUCAGGUGGACACUGCCAUUGAUAUGAUCCAGCUUUUCUACACCUGAUGGACCGAUAAGACAAAUGAAUUUCCUGAACUCAUGGCACAAUUUGAUCUCCUGAAUUCACCGAGAUAUUUCCAUCUCUGGUCACCUAAGUCCUCAUUUUUCUUGAGCUCUCUGGAACAUUUGAUGCUGUGGUGGUCUAGGGGUUCUGGCAACCCCAAAAUUCAAGAGCAAAAGGACAUGGAUCUGCCUGAAAAGAAUUCAACUACUCAAGCC